GACAGAGGUGCCGAGCGUUAGGCGGAAUCACUGGGCUUAAAGCGUGUGUAGGCGGAUCGUUAAGUGCCUUGUGAAAUCCCACGGCUCACCCGUGGAACUGCUGGGCAUACUGGCGGUCUUGAGCCACCUAGGGGCAACCGGAACAAACGGUGGAGCGGUGAAAUGCGUAGAUAUCACUUGGAACGCCAAUGGUGAAAACAGACUGCUGGGGGUGUGCUGACGCUGAGACACGAAAGCCAGGGGAGCAAACGGG
rnacentral:rRNA from 1 species